UGGGGAAUCUUGCGCAAUGGAGGCAACUCUGACGCAGCGACGCCGUGUGAGCGAUGAAGGCCUUCGGGUUGUAAAGCUCAGUCAUCGGGGAUGAUAUGGACAGUACCCGAAGAGGAAGCCCCGGCUAACUACGUGCCAGCAGCCGCGGUAACACGUAGGGGGCGAGCGUUGUCCGGAAUUACUGGGUGUAAAGGGCAUGUAGGCGGGGAUGCAAGUCGUCGGUAAAAACCCACAGCUCAACUGCGGGCUUGCCGGCGAAACUGUAUCUCUUGAGUUCAGGAGAGGGAAGUGGAAUUUCCGGAGUAGCGGUGAAAUGCGUAGAUACCGGAAAGAACACCAGUGGCGAAGGCGGCUUCCUAUUCUGCAACUGACGCUCAGAUGCGAAAGCUAGGGUAGCGAA
rnacentral:rRNA from 1 species